GGCGGCAGGCCUAACACAUGCAAGUCGAACGGUAACAGGAAGCAGCUUGCUGCUUUGCUGACGAGUGGCGGACGGGUGAGUAAUGUCUGGGAAACUGCCUGAUGGAGGGGGAUAACUACUGGAAACGGUGGCUAAUACCGCAUAACGUCGCAAGACCAAAGAGGGGGACCUUCGGGCCUCUUGCCAUCAGAUGUGCCCAGAUGGGAUUAGCUUGUUGGUGAGGUAACGGCUCACCAAGGCGACGAUCCCUAGCUGGUCUGAGAGGAUGACCAGCCACACUGGAACUGAGACACGGUCCAGACUCCUACGGGAGGCAGCAGUGGGGAAUAUUGCACAAUGGGCGCAAGCCUGAUGCAGCCAUGCCGCGUGUAUGAAGAAGGCCUUCGGGUUGUAAAGUACUUUCAGCGGGGAGGAAGGUGUUGUGGUUAAUAACCGCAGCAAUUGACGUUACCCGCAGAAGAAGCACCGGCUAACUCCGUGCCAGCAGCCGCGGUAAUACGGAGGGUGCAAGCGUUAAUCGGAAUUACUGGGCGUAAAGCGCACGCAGGCGGUCUGUCAAGUCGGAUGUGAAAUCCCCGGGCUCAACCUGGGAACUGCAUUCGAAACUGGCAGGCUUGAGUCUUGUAGAGGGGGGUAGAAUUCCAGGUGUAGCGGUGAAAUGCGUAGAGAUCUGGAGGAAUACCGGUGGCGAAGGCGGCCCCCUGGACAAAGACUGACGCUCAGGUGCGAAAGCGUGGGGAGCAAACAGGAUUAGAUACCCUGGUAGUCCACGCCGUAAACGAUGUCUACUUGGAGGUUGUGCCCUUGAGGCGUGGCUUCCGGAGCUAACGCGUUAAGUAGACCGCCUGGGGAGUACGGCCGCAAGGUUAAAACUCAAAUGAAUUGACGGGGGCCCGCACAAGCGGUGGAGCAUGUGGUUUAAUUCGAUGCAACGCGAAGAACCUUACCUGGUCUUGACAUCCACAGAAGAAUCCAGAGAUGGAUUUGUGCCUUCGGGAACUGUGAGACAGGUGCUGCAUGGCUGUCGUCAGCUCGUGUUGUGAAAUGUUGGGUUAAGUCCCGCAACGAGCGCAACCCUUAUCCUUUGUUGCCAGCGGUUAGGCCGGGAACUCAAAGGAGACUGCCAGUGAUAAACUGGAGGAAGGUGGGGAUGACGUCAAGUCAUCAUGGCCCUUACGACCAGGGCUACACACGUGCUACAAUGGCGCAUACAAAGAGAAGCGACCUCGCGAGAGCAAGCGGACCUCAUAAAGUGCGUCGUAGUCCGGAUUGGAGUCUGCAACUCGACUCCAUGAAGUCGGAAUCGCUAGUAAUCGUGGAUCAGAAUGCCACGGUGAAUACGUUCCCGGGCCUUGUACACACCGCCCGUCACACCAUGGGAGUGGGUUGCAAAAGAAGUAGGUAGCUUAACCUUCGGGAGGGCGCUUACCACUUUGUGAUUCAUGACUGGGGUGAAGUCGUAACAAGGUAACCGUAGGGGAACCUGCGGUUGGA
rnacentral:rRNA from 1 species